rnacentral:tRNA from 1 species
GCCCUCGUCGUUCAAUGGUUAGGACGCAAGAUUGCGGAUCUUGCGAUUGUGGUUCGAUUCCACACGAGGGCA